UACGUAGGGUGCAAGCGUUAAUCGGAAUACUGGGCGUAAGCGUGCGCAGGCGGUUAUGUAAGACAGGUGUGAAAUCCCCCGGGCUUAACCUGGGGAAUUGCAUUUGUGACUGCAUGGCUAGAGUGUGUCAGAGGGGGGUAGAAUUCCACGUGUAGCAGUGAAAUGCGUAGAUAUGUGGAGGAAUACCGAUGGCGAAGGCAGCCCCCUGGGAUAACACUGACGCUCAUGCACGAAAGCGUGGGGAGCAAACAGG
rnacentral:rRNA from 1 species